CGGUCGGCACUCGCACAUCAUUUGUUUGGGUUUCCGUUCUACGGUAUUUGAAACGUGCUGUUUUUUUGGUGUCAUUUUUUCCACUCCAACCAAGGGAGGGUUUAGGAGAGCUGCUUGUGCUUGAGUUUAGCAUUCCAAGCCAUCCAUCGUGUGGUAGGAGAUCCCCCUCGGUGUGCGCUGUUCCCUUUUUUCCGAAGGCAUUCAUCGUAUCGUUUUCUAACCGCCAGCAAAGUGUGGGUGGUUGAAUACUGAACGUGUGUUUUUCACGGCCUUCGCGGUUCAGCUACGAUGAGCCUUCUUCGGCUGGAUUUGAUUGUGAUUUGCUGCCUGAUCGCAGUGAAGCUGUGCGCAUCGCAGCAGGCAGCACCAACCAUCGCAUCCAUCAGUCCGGAGCAGAUCAAAGAUAUUGGGGAGAGUGUUUCGUUGGAGUGCGAUAUCAACAAUGUGGGUAAAUUCACCGUUGGUUGGCAGAAAAGUAAUCGGGAGAGAUCUCAAAAUAUUAAUACUAUUUCGCUGGGCCCAACAUUAGCCGUAGCAGAGGAACGGUUUAAUGUGAGUGUCGAUAAGGAGAACAAUACGAUGAAAUACAAACUGACGAUUAGCGACAUCGUUAAUACCGACGCCGGUUUGUACGAGUGUCAGAUUCAGGUGAAUAGCACCAACAAAGUGACCGCCACUGUUGAGCUUCAGGUGCGUCAUCCACCAAUUCUGCAGGAUAAUCUGGCUGCCACAACCGUUAGCAAGGCAGAAGGUGAAGACGUAAAGCUGACCUGCUCGGCUGAAGGGUAUCCUCGCCCGUCGAUUACCUGGAAGCGAGAGUACAACACAAUCCUUCCAAUUGGUGGACAAAUCUACAAUGGAAACGUACUGUCGUUGUCGUCACUGACCAAGGAGGAUCGUGGCACGUACCUUUGUCUCGCAGAUAAUGGCGUAGGAAGGCCCGACUCAAGGACCAUCCAUCUGGAAGUGGAAUUUGCUCCCGUCAUCUCAAUCCCUCGACCUAAGGUAGCUCAGGCAACCGAGUAUGACAUCGAACUGGAGUGCGUGGUGCAGGCGUUCCCAUCACCAUCGAUUUCCUGGCUGAAGAAUGGCCAUCCGAUUCACAAUGGUGGCUCGUACAGUAUUUCCCAGACUGGUCAACCGGAUGAUGUGACCACUUCUGUGGUGAAGAUCAGCUCCGUCGAAAGCUCACACUAUGGUGACUACAUCUGCAAAGCUUCCAACAAAGUAGGCCACGCCGAAGCGAGACUGAACCUCUAUGAAUCGGUUAUCCCAGUGUCGUAUUGAAUUGUUUGCUUAGUUUAGUUAUUUUUUGUUGCGUGCUGUGUUUGCUUUUUUAUCUUUCCAAGCAAAAGAGCAACGCCUUCCCAAUAUCAACUUCUCCGGUCUGAAAUGGUCCAGCUCAGCUCACGUCAUCGCCAGUCAACUGGGAAUCCUGAUGGUUACGACGUUGCUUGCAACGCUUUUGUGAAUAAGAAAGCUUCGGAGUUAACAGUCCAUUCAGUGACCGUGAAUCCACAAAACAGCUAGCUACAAAACCACAACAAUCGAUGCAAGUGCAAAGUUUUACUGUCAAACAACAAAAACCGAACCCCCCUCAUAAAAAAAUAACAAUAGGCAUUAUCAGCGAAAUCAGCUCAAACGGACAUAUCCCCCUGUCGGGCGCAUUUAUGAAACAUAUAGAAGAUUUUGUCUUUUAGUAUUAGGAGUGAAAAAGAGCCGCUUUAGAAUCCCUGUACAAAUGAAACGGAACAAGACUUAUGUCGACGAAAAUAGAGUAUAAAUACGUGCAAAAUUUCAUCGUUAGUGUUAAGAAAAUAAUCAAUUAUAUUUCGAACCCUGUGUGGAAAUAAAUGGCUUUGACAAUUCCAAAA